rnacentral:rRNA from 1 species
CCUACGGGAGGCAGCAGUGGGGAAUAUUGCACAAUGGGGGAAACCCUGAUGCAGCGACGCCGCGUGAGGGAGGGAGGAUUUCGGUGUGGAAAGCUCUAGCAGCAGGGAAGAAAAUGACGGUACCUGACUAAGAAGCCCCGGCUAACUACGUGCCAGCAGCCGCGGUAAUACGUAGGGGGCAAGCGUUAUCCGGAUUUACUGGGUGUAAAGGGAGCGUAGACGGUUAAUCAAGUCAGAAGUGAAAACCCAGGGCUCAACCUUGGGACUGCUUUUGAAACUGAGUAGCUAGAGUGCAGGAGAGGUAAGCGGAAUUCCUAGUGUAGCGGUGAAAUGCGUAGAUAUUAGGAGGAACAUCAGGGGCGAAGGCGACUUACUGGACUGUAACUGACACUGAGGCACGAAAGCGUGGGGAGCAAACAGGAUUAGAUACCCGAGUAGUC